AGCGAACGCUGGCGGCAGGCUUAACACAUGCAAGUCGAGCGGGCGUAGCAAUACGUCAGCGGCAGACGGGUGAGUAACGCGUGGGAACAUACCUUUUGGUUCGGAACAACACAGGGAAACUUGUGCUAAUACCGGAUAAGCCCUUACGGGGAAAGAUUUAUCGCCGAAAGAUUGGCCCGCGUCUGAUUAGCUAGUUGGUGAGGUAACGGCUCACCAAGGCGACGAUCAGUAGCUGGCUGAGAGGAUGAUCAGCCACAUUGGGACUGAGACACGGCCCAAACUCCUACGGGAGGCAGCAGUGGGGAAUAUUGGACAAUGGGCGCAAGCCUGAUCCAGCCAUGCCGCGUGAGUGAUGAAGGCCCUAGGGUUGUAAAGCUCUUUUGUGCGGGAAGAUAAUGACGGUACCGCAAGAAUAAGCCCCCGGCUAACUUCGUGCCAGCCG
rnacentral:rRNA from 1 species